rnacentral:rRNA from 1 species
AGUGAACGCUGGCGGCAGGCCUAAUACAUGCAAGUCGAACGGCAGCACGGCAGAGCUUGCUCUGUGGGUGGCGAGUGGCGGACGGGUGAGGAAUACAUGGGAAUCUGCCCAGUCGUGGGGGAUAACGUAGGGAAACUUACGCUAAUACCGCAUGCGCCCUUCGGGGGAAAGCCGGGGACCUUCGGGCCUGGCGCGAUUGGAUGAGCCCAUGUCGGAUUAGCUAGUUGGCGGGGUAAAGGCCCACCAAGGCGACGAUCCGUAGCUGGUCUGAGAGGAUGAUCAGCCACACUGGAACUGAGACACGGUCCAGACUCCUACGGGAGGCAGCAGUAGGGAAUAUUGGACAAUGGGCGCAAGCCUGAUCCAGCCAUGCCGCGUGAGUGAAGAAGGCCCUCGGGUUGUAAAGCUCUUUUGUCCGGAAAGAAAAGCGCCGGGUUAAUACCCUGGUGUCCUGACGGUACCGGAAGAAUAAGCACCGGCUAACUUCGUGCCAGCAGCCG